GAGCGCCGUAGCAAUACGGAGCGGCAGACAGGAGAGUAACACGUGGGAACGUACCCUUUGGUUCGGAACAACGCAGGGAAACUUGGGCUAAUACCGGAUAAGCCCUUACGGGGAAAGAUUCAUCGCCGAAGGAUCGGCCCGCGUCUGAUUAGCUAGUUGGUGGGGUAAUGGCCCACCAAGGCGACGAUCAGUAGCUGGUCUGAGAGGAUGAUCAGCCUCACUGGGACUGAGACACGGCCCAGAUUCUUACGGGAGGCAGCAGUGGGGAAUAUUGGACAAUGGGCGCAAGCCUGAUCCAGCCAUGCCGCGUGGGUGAUGAAGGCCCUAGGGUUGUAAAGCCCUUUCGGCGGGGAAGAUAAUGACGGUAUCCGCAGAAGAAGCCCCGGCUAUCUUGGUGCCAGCAGCCGCGG
rnacentral:rRNA from 1 species